rnacentral:rRNA from 1 species
UACGUAGGUGGCGAGCGUUGUCCGGAUUUACUGGGCGUAAAGGGAGCGUAGGCGGACUUUUAAGUGAGAUGUGAAAUACUCGGGCUCAACUUGAGUGCUGCAUUUCAAACUGGAAGUCUAGAGUGCAGGAGAGGAGAAUGGAAUUCCUAGUGUAGCGGUGAAAUGCGUAGAGAUUAGGAAGAACACCAGUGGCGAAGGCGGCUUCCUGGUCUGCAACUGACACUGAGGCGCGAAAGCGUGGGGAGCAAACAGG